CUGGCAAAUACUGCAUUUAGUAUCAGCUUCAUCCUCACUACAUCCAGAGGCCCCAACAUCUACCGUAGCAGUCUGGUACAUGCUUUUCGUGAUGCAUUUAGCAAAUGCCUCUUCCGAGAGUGCUGUGCUCACAGUACCCAUCCUCUCCUCUAAAGCAAGUAAUUCCUGUCAAAAAGGAAUACAAAAAUAGUCGAGAAGUACGAAAAGAGGGCAUUGUACAUCAGCAGCACCAAUUUUAUAGCCAAGAAACAAAUGAGAAAACUUUCAUGAGUAACAAAAAAAUGCUGAUUUAAAAAUCAAUUGUUAUAAAUUCAAGUUCGUACGAUCUGGUUAGCCAGAAAAGGAAUAAAAAGUAGUUAGAACAAUAUUGUACUCAGUGAUUCCAAUCUAUUGCAUCUUAUGAUAGCCUACCUCAUAUGACAUGUUAUCAAUAUCUAAUCUCAUAUCUCUGUGCUGGUCGUAGAAGCUCAGGUGGCCAAGAAAUAAAUCGUUCUCCAAAGCAAGUAAUUGCUGAGUCAAAUGGAUAAGAAGUAAAGUCAACAUACAAAUGCCAAUCUGCACAAAUCAUAAAGUUACCAAAGAUUGAGUACCUCAUAGUUCAGCUCUUCAUCCUGCCCAAUUCUCUCAAGAGCUAAUAGUACCUGCACCAACAAAAUAAUACAAGUUACACAAAAUUGCCAAGGCAAGAUCAAGAAAACAGAACUGAAGUAUUGAGUUCUCUGUUAAUCACAUAAGUGACAAAGGAGUGUAGUUCUUCAGAUGAACCAGAGAAGUACCUCAGCAACUCCAUUCAGGUUAUGUCGCCGGAAAGCAUGAGUAAUACCAUGCUCUGUGGGCAUCAAGGACAUUAUACCAGUUCCAUUGCCACCAGUUCUCGCAGAUAGUCCACAGGAGCUUGAAGCAUUUGAAGAACCUUCUAUGGAAGAUUGAUGUGAUAAACUAUGUAAAUUAGCACUAUUAGGAGUUUCAGGUCUAGAUAAUUGUGCAAUACUGCUACUGGAUUCACUGGUUAAUAAAGCAUUUCUGUUGUCAAUAUUUGAAAGCCCGAUCCUAGUAUUUGAGUUCAAUGCCCUCCGAGUCCUCAGAGAUGCAGUGCGAGAAUCACUAUUUGAAACCCAGCUUCUACCAUGUCUUGAGCCAGUGACAGAAAUUCCUGUAUUGGAGGCGGCGACAUGUCCAUCUUCAGAACAAGCCAUGUUACCUCUUUUUCCGGAAGAAGAUGCACCAAUUUGUCCUUCAGGACUUCUUUUUCUUAAAACAUCCCUCUUAACCUUAGAUUCUGAGGCUGAGCCACCUUGUGGGAUAACAUCAGAUAUGGAGUUGCAUCUUAAAUUUCUCAAACCAUACCAACCCCCAUUGUACUUCCUAGUCCCUGAAGCUAUACUAUUUGAUGUAGAAAUAACAGAUGUAACAGAGGGACCAGGAAGAGGCUUUUGACAGCCAGAUGGAGGCUUGUGACGAAUUAUUCUAUGAGAUUUAUUAUUUGAUCCUGUGGUCAAACUCCCUACUUCUGUCAGUGUGACUUUACCAGCACUUGAAUCUUGUAAAUCAGGCUGAUGUACUGUGUGAUUCCUACUUACUAAAGGGAUGUGUUCUGCAACAGCUGGCUCAUAAUGAACACCACAAGAUUCUGCAGAAUCAUUGUCUAAGUUAGACGAAAAUUUCCUAUAAGAAUCAGAAUCAUGUCGUGAUUUUCUUCCAUUAGUAAUUGGAAAACAAGUCCUUGAGGAGCUCCCAGUGAUCUGCUUGCCAUUUGAAGAAUGACAGGAAGGCCUUGAAUUUUUGUAUUUCUCAGCACAAUUACUUUGAUUACUCUUUCCAUAUUUAAGUCUUCCAUUGCAUCCAAUACGAUUGCAAAAUUCAGCAUUUUGAUCUCUUUUAUCAAUGGCAUCCCUGGAAACAAGACUAGAUCCUUUUUUGGGGACAACCGCCCCAACUCUGUGUCUCCUACCAGAAAACUCAUCCAUCUUACCUUACUAUCUACCCUUAUUCCUGUAUGAGCAAUAACAUAUUGAAGAAGUCAAGACCUUCAUAUAGGUUUGACAUCUAAAUUAACAUAAAACCAGCUCCCUUACAAGCGAAAAGAGAUUAUUGAAAAAAAAAAAAAAAAUUGUAGUUGAACAGCAUUUAGACAAGUAUUAAAACAAUGAAUCGUGGUUAACCAGUUUACCAAUGACAAAGAUAGCAGCAAUUAAUUCCAGCAAAGUUAAGCUUCAAAUUAUCGAGUAACAAAAACUAAUGUACUCUAUAAGUAGAUUCCAGAUUAAGUUCAGGAAGCAAGCAUCUCAUAUAAGAAACUGGAAGUAAUUAUGUACACUCAGAGAAAUUCCUGUUAUAAUAAACAUGAGAAGUCAUAUUCAAUAGAAGGGAAAACAUAAUGAUAAGCAUCACUCAUCUUCAAGAGGGGAGCAACAUUGAAACAAAAAAGACAGGCAGAAAUGCCAAUGGUGGGAAAAAUUCACAUAGUAUUAUUGCUCAAGAAAUCAGUUUAGCCAAUGAUAUAUUGUGGUUCACAUGACAUUCUUGGGUAUUCAUAGGCACCUAGAGGAAAGUUCUGGAUAAAGACCCCAAUCAGACAUAAAACGAUAAUUAUCAUUAAUUAGCUAAAUUCUUUUCCUACAUUAGUAACAGCCAAAUUACCAUAAAGGAGCAGGAAAACUCAACUCAUAAAUUGCAUCCUAGUUGUGGUUUUACUGCCUAAUAACUGUGGGGAGGGAAGGCAAUUCCACAUCACUAGAAUAAGAUAGUAGGGCUGAGCAUGUAAAUGAGGUACGUAAACAACAAGGGAAUCCAUCUUCCAUUAAGGUAAGCCAGAGUUCAGGUAACAUAAAGGCUCACUGGAGAUCUAUUCUUACGAUAGCAACAGCACAGAUCAAAGCAACACGGCAACUAACAGUACUUAUAUAUACAAAAGGCAAGAUCUCCUCCAAAUGAAUUGAAGAGCUUAAACACAAGAAAUUCCUGUAGAACACACAGAUAUGGAAAUCAUACAGCAACCUUCAUUUUCCUCAAACAAGUAGAUAGAUGCAGUUUCCGGAAAAAGAAAGUUGCAGACAAAUAUCACGUAAUACACAAACAAAAGUGGCUUAUUAGAGAACACCUCCAUUACGAUUAGUAAUCAUAUGAUUAUAGAUACUCAAAUACAAAAGCAAGUCAUAUAACAAUCAGCAUACUGCAAAUGCUGUUCAAUUGAAUGACGAAACCUGUAAAGGACAGAAAAAAUGAAACGAAAAGAAAAAAAAAAAAAAAGGAUGGUCAAAGUACAAACUUUCCACAAAAUAUGGCAUCAAAAGCUCUUGAUUAUAAACAGAAAAAGUUUCCCACCAAUUUACUCUUUAACUAAAGCAAAUAAAGUUGGCUUCUCUAAAAUCAUCCUAUUACCAACUUAUUCAACAGAAAACCAAGUAACCCACAUAUGUUGCAUUAAAACAUCAACCAUCAAAUAACAAUCAAGACAAAAACCAAAUAAAAAAAUCAAACAAACGAAAAAUUCGUAUCUUCAUAGGCCAAUCUUCAAGUAAACAUUACUAAAGAAAUCAAUUAACAGAACUAACUCAUAACGAUCAAUCCAUUCCAACUUUAUUUGAUGGAAAAGAAUAAUUUAACAAUACAGACUAAGGACUAGAUUCUUUUCCCGUUUUGCUCAUCAGAAACCCAAAUACAAAACAAAAUUUCACAUACGAACGAAGACAAACAGAGCAAACCCAUAUCAGAACACCCAAUAAAAACCCAAUUGUAGCUGCCAAAAAUUGGUACCGGGUCUUUACUGGUUAAUCAUCUGAAUAAAAAAUAACAAACUUUUCGUUCUCUACCUUUCUUGUUAUGAACUUAUGAUCACUGAACACUAUGGCAAGAGGAGAAGGCCUUUUUUUAGCGUUUUAUUAGAGAGAAAGAAAGGGAAUAAAAGAUAGGAAAGAAACGUGUUG
rnacentral:lncRNA from 1 species